rnacentral:rRNA from 1 species
ACCUUCGGCGUCGAGCGGCGGACGGGUGAGUAAUGGCUGGGUACCUGCCCUGAUGUGGGGGAUAACAGUUGGAAACGACUGCUAAUACCGCAUAACGUCUACGGACCAAAGAGGGGGAUCUUCGGACCUCUCGCGUCAGGAUGGGCCCAGUUGGGAUUAGCUAGUUGGUGAGGUAAUGGCUCACCAAGGCAACGAUCCCUAGCUGGUUUGAGAGGAUGAUCAGCCACACUGGAACUGAGACACGGUCCAGACUCCUACGGGAGGCAGCAGUGGGGAAUAUUGCACAAUGGGGGAAACCCUGAUGCAGCCAUGCCGCGUGUGUGAAGAAGGCCUUCGGGUUGUAAAGCACUUUCAGCUGUGAGGAAGGGUGAGACGUUAAUAGCGGUUUAUCUUGACGUUAGCAGCAGAAGAAGCACCGGCUAACUCCGUGCCAGCAGCCGCGGUAAUACGGAGGGUGCGAGCGUUAAUCGGAAUUACUGGGCGUAAAGCGCAUGCAGGCGGUCUGUUAAGCAAGAUGUGAAAGCCCCGGGCUCAACCUGGGAAAGUCAUUUUGAACUGGCAGGCUAGAGUCUUGUAGAGGGGGGUAGAAUUUCAGGUGUAG